rnacentral:rRNA from 1 species
AGAGUUUGAUCCUGGCUCAGGACGAACGCUGGCGGCGUGCUUAACACAUGCAAGUCAAGGAGAACGGAUUCUUCGGGAUACAAGUAAACUGGCGAACGGGUGAGUAACACGUAGGUAAUCUACCCUAGAGAUUGGGAUAACUCCGGGAAACCGGAGCUAAUACUGAAUAAUACAGCGGAUCCUUUGGGAUAUGUUGUUAAAGCGGGCUUUUGCUCGCACUCUAGGAUGAGCCUGCGUCCGAUUAGCUUGUUGGUGGGGUAAUGGCCUACCAAGGCGAUGAUCGGUAGCUGUCUGAGAGGAUGAUCAGCCACACUGGGAUUGAGAUACGGCCCAAACUCCUACGGGAGGCAGCAGUAGGGAAUCUUGCACAAUGGAGGAAACUCUGAUGCAGCGAUGCCGCGUGAGUGAAGAAGGCCUUUGGGUUGUAAAGCUCUUUCGUCGAGGAAGAAAAUGACUGUACCCGAAUAAGAAGGUCCGGCUAACUUCGUGCCAGCAGCCGCGGUAAUACGAAGGGACCUAGCGUAGUUCGGAAUUACUGGGCUUAAAGAGUUCGUAGGUGGUUAAAAUAGUUGGUGGUGAAAUCCCAGAGCUUAACUCUGGAACUGCCAUCAAAACUUUUUAGCUAGAGUAUGAUAGAGGAAAGCAGAAUUUCUAGUGUAGAGGUGAAAUUCGUAGAUAUUAGAAAGAAUACCGAUUGCGAAGGCAGCUUUCUGGAUCAUUACUGACACUGAGGAACGAAAGCAUGGGUAGCGAAGAGGAUUAGAUACCCUCGUAGUCCAUGCCGUAAACGAUGUGUGUUAGACGUUGGAAAUUUAUUUUCAGUGUCGCAGCGAAAGCGAUAAACACACCGCCUGGGGAGUACGACCGCAAGGUUAAAACUCAAAUGAAUUGACGGGGACCCGCACAAGUAGUGGAGCAUGUGGUUUAAUUCGAAGAUACGCGCAGAACCUUACCAACACUUGACAUGUUCGUCGCGACUCUAAGAGAUUAGAGUUUUCGGUUCGGCCGGACGAAACACAGGUGCUGCAUGGCUGUCGUCAGCUCGUGUCGUGAGAUGUUGGGUUAAGUCCCGCAACGAGCGCAACCCUCACUUUUAGUUGCCAUCAUUAAGUUGGGCACUCUGAAAGAACUGCCAGUGAUAAGCUGGAGGAAGGUGGGGAUGACGUCAAGUCCUCAUGGCCCUUACGUGUUGGGCUACACACGUGCUACAAUGGCAUCUACAACAGGAAGCAAAACGGCAACGUUAAGCAAAUCCCGAAAAGAUGCCUCAGUUCGGAUUGCACUCUGCAACUCGAGUGCAUGAAGCUGGAAUUACUAGUAAUCGCGGAUCAGCGCGCCGCGGUGAAUACGUUCCCGGGUCUUGUACACACCGCCCGUCACACCAUGGGAGUUGGUUCUACCUUAAGGCAAAGUUUAAAACCUUUGACCACGGUAUAGUCAGCGACUGGGGUGAAGUCGUAACAAGGUAACC